rnacentral:lncRNA from 1 species
UUUUUUUUUUUUCCUUUUUGGGGCUGUACCGGUGGCAGAUGGAGGUGCUUCUCCUUAUCUAUCUAAUUGGGUAUCAUUUACAAAUAAUGAAAUAUAAAGAUCUUAAAUACAAAAUGUUUUGACAAAUACAUAAACCCAUGUAAAGAGCAUCUCAGCCAAGAGAGGGCACAUUUCCAUGAACGGGAGCCAAGCGGCUGUAACGUUUUGCAAUCCGUCGCCCUCCCCCCAACUAGAGGUUAACGCUUAUGAGUUCCAUCCACACAGACCAGUGCUGCCCGUUCUUGAACUUCAGACGACGGAAUCACCCAGGAUGUGCUCUUUCACUCCGCACGCUUUUGAGACUCAUUCAUGCCGUGGUGCCUAUCAGUUGCUGGUUUGUGCCUUCUGCUGAGCAGUCUUCCACUGCAGAAGUGAAACAAGACUUGCUUAUCCAUUUGUCCACAGAUGAGCAUUCGGGUUCGUUCCAGCUUUGGGAUGUUACGAAUCAAGCUGCCAGGAACAUUCCCGCCCAAAUCUUUCUGCGGAUUUAGGCUCUCAUUCCUCAUGGGUAAAUACCCGGGAUGGAGUCACUGGAUCUUCACUACGCGUGCGUAGCGUUUUCAUAAAACUGCCUAACGGUUUUUAAAGCUGCUGUACCUUUUCACAUUCCCCCACCAACGCCGGAGGCAUUUAAGCCGUCUUGUGGGUGUGAGGAGAUAGCUUUCAUUUGCAUUUCCCUGGUGACUAACGAGGCCCAACACGCCUUUGGACAUGUUCUUUUGUGAAGUGUCCGUUGGAAUUUCGUGCCCAUUUUUGCUGCUUUUAGUGUUUCAAGAAAUCCCUGCCUACCUGAAGGUCAUUAGAGAUCCUCCCGUAUUCUCUUCUAGAAGCUGUAGCAUUUUAGCUUCUAGUUUAUUAAGGUCCGUGAUCUAGUUCAAAUUUAUGUUUCUGCAUUAACCAGUGAUGGACAGGUUGUCAAGUGUCAGGACUCCGUUAUUUUUAUUUGAUUUUCCACCUUUUCUUGUGGCACAACUCGCGUCAUCAAGUCAAGUGUAGAAACACGACGAACAAAAAAGCUAAAAAAUGUUCCACUUGUUUACAUCGUGUAACCACAUCCAGAUCAUCUGAGGACUUCUUUAUAUUUUCAGAAAUAUUAGUUAGCCUAUGUUAGUGUUAUUUUAUUUAUUUUUUUUAGGGCCAUGCCCACGGCACAUGGACGUUCCCAGGCUAGCGGUUGAAUCGGAGCUGCAGCUGCUGGCCUACACCACAGCCACAGCGAUGCCGGAUCCUUAAUCCACUGAGCAAGGCCAGGGAUCGAACCUGUGUCCUCAUGGAUGCUGGUCAGAUCUGUCUCCACUGAGCCACAAUGGGAACUUCCGUUGGCAUUAUUUUAAAGCACUACUUAUUUCACCAUAUUCGACAGCCUCUCAUGCACUGGAGGCCCGGUGCACACAUGGAUUUGUUGGCUCCAGAAGCAAGGCUCUGACUACCCAGGGCCUGCUGCCCGCAGUUGUGGGGCAAACCCACUAUUCCCUGUGGACACCGGUCUCCUCUCCUCAAGGGGUUUAUAAGCUAAGAGGGGUGCUAGGAAUAAACCAUGAAGAAACCAUGUUGAGUUUGAGCAAAUGACCCACAACCAUAAGAAUGUUCUAGAACAAAGACCAGGGACGGCAGAAGCGGGCAUCAAAGCAUUGCAGGAGCGGAUGAGAGGACGUGUCAGCCUAAGGAUGGAUUUGGGUAAGCGAGGGCAAUUAGGUGAAGUAACUGCCAAUGGGGAAAACUGCAAAAUAACACCAGCAAGUGCCUCACUUAGGAUGCGUUCUGUUGCUACUUUCAGAAACCCAGCAAAGUUAAAGCAAAAAGGGCAUCUGCAGAAUUCCCGUCGUGGCGCAGUGGUUAACAAAUCCGACUAGGAAUCAUGAGGUUGCGGGUUUGAUCCCUGCCCUUGCUCAGUGGCGUUGCCGUGAGCUGUGGUGUAGGUCGCAGACGCAGUUCAGAUCCUGCGUUGCUGUGGCUCUGGCGUAGGCCGGUGCCUACAGCUCCGAUUAGACCCCUAGCCUGGGAAUCUCCAUAUGCCAUGGAAGCGGCCCUAGAAAAGACAAAAAGACAAAAAAAAAAAAAAAAAAAA